AAGCUCCAAAUAAUUAAGUAUCAUGGUUAGCAGGUGACAGGGAGAACCUUUGCAACAAGUCCCACCUGCAGCAACUCCUUAACUGCCUUGAACAACUCCCUUAAGGGUCACCCCAUUAACUAAUCAGACAAUUAUUAUUAAUUACAACAUCUGUGUCUGAGGAAUAUAGUUAGGCAAGCCCUUACAGCAAUGGUUGAGAAGCAGUGUUGGGAUGUUUUGCUUUAUGCUUGUUUUGGAAGUAGGAGGUGGAAGUGAAGGUCACCAGAGAUUGCUUUCCUAUGGAUCAUUAUGGUCACUCACCUUCCCAAGGAACUCAGAUUGGUUUGACACACUUGUUUUCAUCAAAUCCCUGGUGGCAAGUCUUCAUCAUUUCAUUCUGUUUGGUACAAAUGAUGAGAUGCUCAGCAAUCACUUGCAUGUCAUGACUCCUGGAAAGGCUAAUCCCCAGAGUCCCUCUCUGCCCUCUUUUUAAGCAGUGGGCCAGGAGCAUCUCUUAUUGUGGCCUGUUCCUCUCCCUUGCACCUCCACCUCCCUUGUUGUCAGGUCAAAAUGCUGCCUUCUCAGGACUCUUCAUAGAAAAAGAGACACAACGAAACCUUCAGAGAUGGAGAAUCAGGUGGGAUGUCCAUGCUAAUAACACCUGUUUGCUCUUGGGGGAAAAACUUUGUGUGACUUUGUCAGCAGCACUUGGGUGCAGGUGGACAACUCUGAAGGGAGUUUGUGCACUCUUACACAUUUGCGAAUUUUAGUGUGGUUAGAUCUGCCUUGGGAAGAUUUCAGCGGUGUUCAACUUGACCUGUUUCUGUGUUAUCCAAGUUCCCUGGGCUGAGGAGAACAGCAUUUUUGGAGCUCCUACCAAGGAGCCAGAGAAGCCUCAUGCUGCCUCAGCUGUGUCCAAGCCUACCCUGCAGCUCUGCAAAGCUGGAACUGCCCAGCAAUACCCAUGUUUUUGCCACUGAGGACACAUCUCUACAUGAAAUGGGCAUGAAACAGGUUUGUUUAGAUACAUACAUGGGAACUUGGAGGACAGAUGCUCAUGAUCAGUCCUCUCUAUUUCUUCCUGGCAUUCCCGAGUUGUUCUGCAGGAUAGUUAUCAGCUGGCACUGUUCAGAAAAUAACUACAAAUUUAUUUUCCUGAUGCUUUUCUACCCCUUGCAGCUGUCAAGAAGAGCUAAGGACCAUGGCCAUAAAAAUCAAGUGAUUCAGUUCUAGAUUUUCAGGUCUAAAUCAUCUGAGCUACUAAGACCAGUAGCAAACUAAUGUGCACUAAAUGAUGCACAUGCAAGAGACUAUCAAAUAUCUGCUGCUGUGGUUUUCCUUCCUGUGAAGCACUUGGUUAUUAUCAGAAGUAAGAUCUUGAACACUUGGUUAUGGGUUAUGGAACAACCACUCCUAAGUCUCUAAAAAAGUUGAGGGGGGUAGGGGGAGCCCCGAAAAAA